GGCUAACGCUGGCGGCGUGUCUUAGCCAUGCAAGUCGAGCGGACUUAUGGGGUAACUUAUAAGUCGGCGGCGGACGGCGGAGUAACACGUAGCUAACCUACCCUCUGGACGGGGAUAACCUACCGAAAGGUGGGCUAAUACCCGAUGUAGUCAUCCUGUAUAGGGGUGAUGAAAGGUGGGCUUCUGUUUACAAGCUCAUGCUGGAGGAGGGGGCUGCGGCCUAUCAGGUAGUUGGUAGGGUAAUAGCCUACCAAGCCGAUGACGGGUAGCCGGCCUGAGAGGGUGACCGGCCCGAGGGGCACUGAGAUACGGGUCCCACUCCUACGGGAGGCAGCAGGCUAGAAAUUUGGGCAAUGGGGGGAAACCCUGACCCAGUGACGCCGCGUGCAGGAAGGAGCCCUUCGGGGUGUAAACUGCUGUCGUGUAGGGAGAAGGGUACUAAGGUGAACAAUCUUAGUACUUGACGGUACUACAGGAGGAAGCCCAGGCUAACCUCGUG
rnacentral:rRNA from 1 species